AGAAUGGUCAUAGUACCAUAAUUUCUGAAUGGUCUUAGUACCAUAUUGGAAGGGCCUUUCCCUUAGUUAACCCUAAUCCCCUUUCCCUUAGUUAACCCUAAUCCCCUUUCCCUAAUUUCCCUCCAAAUCACAUUUGUUUUUGAAAAAAAAUAAAAAAUUAUCACAUAGCAUUGUACAGCUACACGUUUUAAUUAUCACAUAGAGUAUUUAGCUUAGCUUAUAGUAGUAUAGAUAGAGCCACGAAAUAAUAAAAUUUUUUGUCUACUCAUUGUUUGAAUUUCAAAUUUUAAAUUUACACAUUAAAUAGUAUCAAAUCAACUACUGCCAUUCUAAUUUGCCUAGAAAAACUAAAAUUUGUUACACAUUUUAUAAAUGUCCUGCAUACUUGCAUAAUAUGCUAUAACAGAAAACAACCAGCCUAGUGUUCUCUUUCUACUAUAGUACGUCUAUACUAUACUGGCUUCUUUGUUUUUUCUUUUUCUCCUCUUCUUCGAAACAAACCCACCGCCGCCACCGUCGCAUAGUGUUCUUUUUCUUUGUUAAAGAAUCAUUAGACUUGAUUGGGACUGUAUAUUUUAUAUAUGUGGUUUCGAGUUGGUUUUCCUUCAUUUUUCUUAUUUUUUAUGGAUAUAUGCUAAUGACAGUACACCUUAUGCCAUUGAUUUCUCGACUAAUAUCUAAAAAACAGUCAGGCCUGCAGUUUCUAGAGCUUGCAAAUUGCAGCGAAUUGAAGUUGAUUCAAUCUUAGCUGAGGCACUUGGAGUGCGAAUCAGCUCUUGAACAGUUUAGCAAUUGAUGCAGUGAAUGUAGUGAACUGCAUUUUAGGGUAUAAAUCAAUUCUUUUAGAAGGAUCAAAAUCAAAAUGAGACAUAUUUGUAGGGACAGAAAUCAUAUAAUUUGUCUUGCUAGGCGGCAGUUUAUUGCUUUCACUGUUACAACGACAUGCUAUUGCAUUUCUGUAUGUCGUCGUUUCUAUCAUCCAAAAUUUUUGCUGUUUCAAUUAACCAUGGCACACCACCACAGCUUCGUCGAAACCGUUCUUGCAUUGUAAUAGUUAAGGUCCGUUGCAUCCACACCCUCAUAUCGAUAAUGUUAAGUGUAUAACCAACAUGAAGAUGAAGUUAUAUGACAUAACACAUUGAAUGUGAUAUCAACAAUGAAAGAUAUCUUUCUUUUUGUUAUGCCGUAACUAAGAUUUUCAAUGGCUGCCCUCUAAUAUUUGAGGUGACUUUGGGUCGCACAUUAAUUGCUAUCUCACAUUUAUUGAUCAAAAGGAUAAUAAGUUUGAAGUGUUGAUUGAGAAGAAACAAUGCAAGAUAUUUCAUUCACGUUGAAAGGAGUUGCGGUUAUUUGGAACAAAUCAAUUCACAUUGAUGAGGGUUUAGUAGUUACAAAUCAAUUUUGUCCGAUUACUAAUAUAGUAUAUUUUCAUUUAGACUAAUGAUGAAUUGAGUUUAAAUUUUGAAUUCUAGUGAAGUUUAAUAUACUACAUGUGCUAUAUUUGAAGGAAAAUUCUAUCGUGCAGUAACUUAUUUGGACUGUUUUGGUGCCGUCCUAAUCUGACCAAUGAAGAUGCAAUGUUCACUCACUUUGAAUUAUACGGUACAAUCCACUUAUAUGGUACUUACCAUGUAUCUUUUUUUUUUUUUUUUUGAUAAUGUCUUACCAUGUAUCUUUA